AAGAACGCAGCGAAUUGCGAUAAGUAAUGUGAAUUGCAGAUUUUCAGUGAAUCAUCGAAUCUUUGAACGCACCUUGCGCUCCUUGGUAUUCCGAGGAGCAUGCCUGUUUGAGUGUCAUCGAAUUCUCAACCAUGUCUUGAAUUAGGCAUGGCUUGGACUUGGGGUUGCUGGCACACGUUGUCAAGCUCUCCUGAAAUGCAUUAGCGAUGUUCAGCAAGCCUGAACGUGCACGGCCUUUUCGACGUGAUAACGAUCGUCGUGGGCUGGAGCGUAGGGUGAGCAGUGAAUCGCUUCUAAUCUAUACCUCAGUUACUAGUCGGUCGUGAGACUGACGAACGCGCGAGGCUUGAUCUUGGACCCCAAGCCUUAGUUACUAGUCGGUCGUGAGGCCGACGAACGCGCAGGGUUAGGACCAUUUGAACUCUUGACCUCAAAUCAGGUAGGACUACCCGCUGAACUUAA
rnacentral:rRNA from 1 species